GACAGAGGAGCCAAGCGUUGUUCAGAAUCAUUGGGCUUAAAGGGCGUGUAGGCGGCGGCGUAAGUGUCGAGUGAAAUCCCAUCGCUCAACGAUGGAACGGCUCGGCAAACUGCGUCGCUUGAGGUCGGUAGAGGUGCCUGGAACUCUAGGUGGAGCGGUGAAAUGCGUAGAUAUCUAGAGGAACGCCAGAGGCGAAAGCGGGGCACUGGGCCGAAUCUGACGCUGAUACGCGAAAGCGUGGGGAGCAAACAGG
rnacentral:rRNA from 1 species